rnacentral:rRNA from 1 species
UGGGGAAUCUUGCACAAUGGGCGAAAGCCUGAUGCAGCGACGCCGCGUGGGGGAUGAAGCUUUUCGGAGUGUAAACCCCUUUCGACCCGGACGAAUGCCCCGCAAGGGGACUGACGGUACGGGUAUAAGAAGCCCCGGCUAACUACGUGCCAGCAGCCGCGGUAAGACGUAGGGGGCCAGCGUUGCUCGGAAUUACUGGGUGUAAAGGGUUCGUAGGCGGUGUGGCAAGUCGGGAGUGAAAUCUCUGGGCUCAACCCAGAGUCUGCUUCCGAAACUGCUGUGCUUGAGUGUGGGAGAGGCGCGUGGAAUUGCAGGUGUAGCGGUGAAAUGCGUAGAUAUCUGCAGGAACACCCGUGGCGAAAGCGGCGCGCUGGACCACUACUGACGCUGAGGAACGAAAGCUAGGGGAGCAAACAGGAUUAGAUACCCCCGUAGUCC